rnacentral:tRNA from 1 species
GGAGAGGUGUCCGAGCGGUUGAAGGAGCACGCUUGGAAAGCGUGUGUAGCCAAAACUACCGUGGGUUCGAAUCCCACCCUCUCCG